CGGAGGAGCUAGCGUUAUUCGGAAUUACUGGCGUAAGCGCACGUAGGCGGCUUGUAAGUUAGAGGUGAAGCCUGGAGCUCAACUCCAGAAUUGCCUUUAAGACUGCAUCGCUUGAAUCCAGGAGAGGUGAGUGGAAUUCCGAGUGUAGAGGUGAAAUUCGUAGAUAUUCGGAAGAACACCAGUGGCGAAGGCGGCUCACUGGACUGGUAUUGACGCUGAGGUGCGAAAACGUGGGAGCAAACAGGAUU
rnacentral:rRNA from 1 species